GACGAACGCUGGCGGCGUGCUUAACACAUGCAAGUCGAGCGGUAAGGCCCUUUCGGGGGUACACGAGCGGCGAACGGGUGAGUAACACGUGGGUGACCUGCCCUCAGCUCUGGGAUAAGCCUGGGAAACCGGGUCUAAUACCGGAUAUGACUCCAUGACGCAUGUUGUGGGGUGGAAAGCCUUGUGCGGCUGAGGAUGGGCCCGCGGCCUAUCAGCUUGUUGGUGGGGUGAUGGCCUACCAAGGCGACGACGGGUAGCCGGUCUGAGAGGGCGACCGGCCACACUGGGACUGAGACACGGCCCAGACUCCUACGGGAGGCAGCAGUGGGGAAUAUUGCGCAAUGGGGGAAACCCUGACGCAGCGACGCCGCGUGGGUGAUGAAGGCC
rnacentral:rRNA from 1 species